rnacentral:rRNA from 1 species
GACGAACCGUGCGAACGUUGUUCGGAUUCACUGGGCUUAAAGGGCUCGUAGGCGGGUGAUCAAGUCAGGGGUGAAAUCUUUCGGCUCAACCGGAAAAGUGCCCCUGAUACUGGUCGUCUCGAGGGAGGUAGGGGCAUGUGGAACUUCCGGUGGAGCGGUGAAAUGCGUAGAUAUCGGAAGGAACGCCGGUGGCGAAAGCGACGUGCUGGACCUUUCCUGACGCUGAGGCGCGAAAGCCAGGGGAGCAAACGGG